GCACUGCUGAGGAGUCCCACAAUAGGACGAAAUGGCCGUACAGUAC
rfam:Schistosoma mansoni strain Puerto Rico chromosome 4, complete genome